CUAAUACAUGCAAGUCGUACGCUGAAGCGCUCUGCUUGCAGAGCGCGGAUGAGUGGCGAACGGGUGAGUAUCACGUGAGGAACCUGCCCUGAACUUUGGGAUAAGCCCGGGAAACUGGGUCUAAUACCGGAUAGGACCAGCCAUCGCAUGGUGGUUGGUGGAAAGCCUUGUGCGGUUUGGGAUGGUCUUGCGGCCUAUCAGCUGGUUGGUGGGGUAAUGGCCUACCAAGGCGUUGACGGGUAGCCGGCCUGAGAGGGUGACCGGCCACACUGGGACUGAGACACGGCCCAGACUCCUACGGGAGGCAGCAGUAGGGAAUCUUCCACAAUGGGUGCAAACCUGAUGGAGCAAUGCCGCGUGAAUGAAGAAGGUCUUCGGAUCGUAAAGUUCUGUUAUUAGAGAAGAACAAGUCAAGGAGUAACUGUCUUGACUUUGACGGUACCUAACCAGAAAGUCACGGCUAACUGCGUGCCAGCAGCCGCGGUAAUACGUAGGUGACAAGCGUUGUCCGGAAUUAUUGGGCGUAAAGGGAGCGCAGGCGGUUGGAAUAGUCUGAUGUGAAAGCCCCCGGCUCAACCGGGGAAGGUCAUUGGAAACUGUUUCGCUUGAGUGCAGAAGAGGAGAGUGGAAUUCCAUGUGUAGCGGUGAAAUGCGCAGAGAUAUGGAGGAACACCAGUGGCGAAGGCGAC
rnacentral:rRNA from 1 species